GUUUCAGUUUGCUUUACAUGACAACAGCGAUAAGGAAGAUACCAGAAAAAGUUUGUCUUAAUAUUUUCCUGAAGAGUUUAAUUUUGAAGGUCAAUAGCUGAAGAACCAACUGAAGUUAGGCACCUGGGCCUCAAGUGACAAUGCUGGAUCCAGUAAUAUCCUCAAGCUGUGUACCAACCAGAACAGAUUGUCUUCCCAAUUUCCAGAUAUGAAACCCACUUGUCAUCAGCACCUCCACCUUGUCAGGAUUCAGUCUUUGCUUUGUUGACUCUCAUUCAUCCCAUUGCUGCCUCUGGACACUGGUUUAUGCUGUCCCACUCAAAAUGUGUGGGAAAUACAGGUAGUGACUAUCGACAAAGGCGAUGGCUGCCUGGGAUUUGCUGUCGUAAAAGGCAAGCCAGAAAAACUAUUCAAAGUUCAGCCCAGAAAAUGGCUGUGGCCUCUUGCUGCUAGCAUGAACCAGAGGGAAAGGGAAAGAGACUUGAUGUAGCACUAAGCUGGGCACCCCUGCUUGAACAAAAGCAGAGAGAAAUUGAUGUGAUAUCUGAACUGGAAAGCGGAAUGUCAAGAGGCACGAUAAUUCAAUCUGCUACUCUCUGAGCUUCAGUGAUCACAACACAGUCUCACUCUGUGCCUGUCAUGGAGAGCUGUACAUUGCCCAUGCUUGAUUUGAGUUACUCUCCAGCUCACUUAAUUACUCACUCACAAAACCCACAUUAUACUAGACAAAUAGCUCUUACAUUACAUAAAAAAAGGAAUGCCUCGCCACCUUCCAAUAGGCAUGUUUUGUGUUUGCAUGUUUUCACUCUACUAUGCUUGCAGAAGUGUCAUCAUCGCACUGCCACCAGGAGUAUUUUAUAUUUAUUAUGAUACAAUCAUGAAUCUUAAGCCACUCAGAGUCUCUCAGCCCUCCUCUGCACAUAAAUGCUUACACCAUUUGCAGCUAAUCUUGUUUAGCAAUUGGGAGAAGUCCAUACGUAUCUCAAGGAUGCAGCCAUAAACUGUCUAGUGUCUAAGGUUGCAUGGCCAAUAUGCUUGUUGUAUGCCAGUUGUCAAGGCAACAAGUAGUAUGCAUAUUUUAGAAGCAUCAGAACAGAGAAGAAGUGUCAUUUAAGGUAAUGUGCAGGUCUACAUGAAUUCUUUGUGAAUACAUGCGCUAGCAGCAACACUUUUGCCACUUGCAAAUUUGUUUGCAAAUAGAUUUUCUGCUGUUUACUCUUGCAUAUGUAAACUGUACAGAAAAUAAUUUAGUAGACUGAUCCAGUGCCCAGUUAGCUGAUGCAAAUUGGCUUGAGAUCCACACAACGUUAACACAUU